rnacentral:rRNA from 1 species
CACGUAGGCACCAAGCGUUGUCCGGAUUUAUUGGGCGUAAAGAGCUCGUAGGCGGUUGAGUAAGUCGGGUGUGAAAACUCUGGGCUUAAACCCAGAGCCGCCACCCGAUACUGCUCUGACUUGAGUUCGGUAGGGGAGCAGGGAAUUCCUAGUGUAGCGGUGAAAUGCGUAGAUAUCAGGAGGAACACCGGUGGCGAAGGCGGCCCUCUGGACGGUGACUGACGCUGAGACGCGAAAGCGUGGGGAGCAAACAGG